CUUUCUGCAACUCACCAGUGUUGGCCACUGUGAGGCCAUGGUAGAUGUGGGCAGGGAACUGGAGACUCCGGGCCCAGUGGGUUCAACCUCAUGAGGGAGUGGAGUUGAGAUGCUUUGGGGAUCAGUGACACAACCUCUUACUUGGCUUGGGGUGCAAACCUAGACUCCCUGUCACCCUGGCCUUCUCCUCUCCAAGAGAAGGAGAACUGUGGGCAUCGCAGUGGUGACACUUCAGUUAUCACAGGCUCAGCAGCCAAGUGAAAAGAUGAUGUUGGAAUUUCCUAGAUGAUUCCAUUCAUGGAUUGGCCAUGCAGCAGGUGGUUGAGCACCGUCAAGUACACCCCAGGUUCUCCCAGGCCUGGUUUCUCUUGGCUGAUUCCCUGACAUUAGGAAAUGUUUUCAGCAAAGCCUGUUCCUUAGGGAUCCCCUCCUAAAAGUCACGAUCUACCCAAGAAUCCACUGUGAAUCGACCAUCCGCCAGUUUCUCCAAACGUUUUAAAGAGCAAUUUGUAUUUUCAACCUGUCUCACCUCUUGGGGAUAAUGAAUUAGACGAGUUGACUA
rnacentral:lncRNA from 1 species